rnacentral:rRNA from 1 species
GAGUUUGAUCGGCUCAGGAUGAACGCUGGCGGCGUGCCUAAUACAUGCAAGUCGUACGAACAGCGGAAAGUGCUUGCACUUUCCAAGUAAGUGGCGAACGGGUGAGUAACACGUGAAUAACCUACCUCAAAGUCUGGGAUAACCAUUGGAAACAGUGACUAAUACCGGAUAAAACCUAGUAGCACAUGCUACAAGGUUAAAAGCUGCGUUUGCAGCGCUUUAAGAUGGAUUCGCGGUGCAUUAGUUAGUUGGUGAGGUAAAGG